AGGGGGCAAGCGUUGUCCGGAUUUAUUGGGCGUAAAGAGCGUGUAGGCGGCCAUACAGGUCCGUUGUGAAAACUGGAGGCUUAACCUCCAGACGUCGAUGGAAACCGUAUGGCUAGAGUCCGGAAGAGGAGAGUGGAAUUCCUGGUGUAGCGGUGAAAUGCGCAGAUAUCAGGAAGAACACCCGUGGCGAAGGCGGCUCUCUGGGACGGUACUGACGCUGUGACGCGAAAGCGUGGGGAGCGAACAGG
rnacentral:rRNA from 1 species